AUUUGAGGUGUAUUUUUGGCUAUGGACCUUCACAAACUUGUCUGCCACCUCCCACCCUCUCACCAAGUACCACGUCUUUUUUCUCCACCAAGGGUUUUUCAUGUUUUUUUUGUUUAGACUUAGUUGUUGAUAUUUUUGGUGGGCUGAAAAAUGGCCCUCCCAAAGAGCUCCUAUUCCAAUCCCUAGAGCCUUCUUUGGGAAAAGGGUCUUUAAAGACAUAAUUAAGAAUCUUUCCAUGGGGGGAUUAGCCUGGAUUAUCCAGGUGGGUCCUAAAUAGAAUCACAUGUUUCCUUACAAGACAGAGGCAGGAGAACUGACAAGCUGAGAAGGCAAUGUGAAGAUGGAGCAGAGAGCUAUUUGGAGAUGUUGACCUUGAAGAUUUCAGUCAUGUUCCCAUAAGCCAAGAAAUGCCAGAAGUUACAAGAAGCUAGAAAAGGUUUGAUUUUGGGAGUGGAGGACAGCAGCCCAAACUUGAUUGACAUUUUAGCAAGUAUACGUAAGUCACUAAAUCUAUAUACUUACAGACCAAUGGAAAAUAAUGGAUGUACCAAAAGAAGAACCAUACACAACAAUCACCUGAUUAAUGACAAAGGUUCCACUGUGAUGAACUGAAAGAUAGAUGAUCUUUACAAUGCAGAGUACAUCAUGAGAAAUGCAAGACUGGAUGAUGCACAAGCUGGAAGAUUGCUG